AUGUGAUCGUCUCUCGCAUAUCAAUAAGCGGAGGAAAGGAAACUAACAAGGAUUCCCCUAGUAACGGCGAGUGAAGCGGGAAGAGCUCAAAUUUGAAAUCCUAAAGGGUUUCCCUUUACGAAUUGUAGUUUAAAGAAGUGUUUUCUGUUGAGGUUUUGGUAAAAGUUCUUUGGAAUAGGACAUCAUAGAGGGUGAGAAUCCCGUAUUUGACCUUUACUUUCAACUUUGUGAUACACUUUCAAAGAGUCGGAUUGUUUGGGAAUGCAGUCCAAAAUGGGUGGUAAAUUUCAUCUAAAGCUAAAUAUUGGCGAGAGACCGAUAGCGAACAAGUACCGUGAGGGAAAGAUGAAAAGAACUUUGAAAAGGGAGUUAAACAGUACGUGAAAUCGUCAAAAGGGAAGCGUUUGACACCAGUGUUGUUUUUCUGAAAAUCAAUUAAAGAACUGUUUAUGCUAAGUUGUUUAGACUUUAUCAGCUAACUGUUUAGUUUUGAGCUUUUCUUUAAUGCACUUUUCAGUUAACAAGUCAACAUCAAUUUCUUUUGCUGUAAAAAAGCUUGAGGAAGGUGGCUUGAGAUUCGUCUUAAGUGUUUAUAGCCUCUUGCCUAUGCAGUCGGAGAGAUUGAGGUCUGCAGCGUAGAUCCUUCGGGGCUAAAUGCAUUUGUGCUAAGUUAUAGCAUUUUAUAGACAACUUGUUGACUAUGAUUUGUCUUGUAGCUUACUCGCUUAUGUUAUUUUACCUACGCUUAGGAUGUUGAUAUGCAUGACUGAUAU
rnacentral:rRNA from 1 species